AGGGUUCCGGUUGGGCUUACCAGUGUCUGGAAUGUGGGCACGAGGUGCACCCCAAGUGCUUCAGAGCUGUGGCCCCAGGCUCAAUUGAAGGAAGCUGAUCAUUGUCAGCUGGAGCUACACCUAAUGUUUGCUAAUUGAAGCUUGCAUUCUGCUAUAAUCAAAGAUUUGUCAGACCUCCGUUUGUUAAUUUGGCUUUCCCCUGGUGAUCCAUAUACGCUGUGCGGGUUUUCUAUUAUUGUAGCUAAGCCAUGAACAUCAACAUUUGAC
rnacentral:lncRNA from 1 species